AACCGACCGCCCGACGAGACCUCCCCCCGGAGCUGGCGCACUUCCCCGGUGCCAGACACCGGAGGGGGAUCUGGUCGGACGGUGGAGGGACC
rfam:Cellulomonas sp. 73-92 SCNpilot_cont_500_bf_scaffold_299, whole genome shotgun sequence.